CUUUCCCUUUGUUUUUGCAGGAUCGUUUAUUUAUUUGGAGGCACAGCGCCCCCCCGGGGUGGCCAAGCUUGGAAGUCCUGUUCUUACAAAAUUGCUCACUGCCUCUACCCCAUGUCAGGUGCAGUUUUGGUAUCAUUUGUCUCAACAUUCAAAUCUCUCAGUUUUUACAAGAACGUCUCUAGAUGGAAACUUGCAAAAGCAAGGCAAAAUAAUCAGAUUCUCCGAAUCUCAGUGGAGCCACGCAAAAAUUGAUCUCAUUGCAGAAGCGGGAGAAUCUACUCUACCUUUUCAGUUAAUUUUGGAAGCUACUGUUUUGUCAUCAAAUGCUACCGUUGCUCUAGAUGACAUCAGUGUGUCCCAGGAAUGUGAAAUUUCCUAUAAAUCACUACCAAGGACCAGUACACAAAGCAAGUGUAAGUUUUCCCUUGUCGUUGUUGCUGUUUUAAACAUUGAAUUAAGCUCUUCUCAGUAUCAAAAUAUAAAAUGUAUUAGAGUCACGAAUACCUAAUACAGGGUGUGGAUUAUAUCACCUGUUCUU